rnacentral:misc_RNA from 1 species
UAGCCGCCCGCCUCUUCGGCAACAUGCGCAUUGAGCGUGCCGAUGAAAUCAUCGGCCGCGAGUUCGUCGCAGAACAGGCGCGCUUCUUCCCGCGCCGAUUCCAUCGCAAAGCGCCGCAGCAGGAUCAGCAGAGGUUCGGAGACUGUUUCGGCGGUUUCGCACUGGGUGAGCACGCGCUCGACCAUGCGGCGGCGAAGCCGCGUCGC